AGGUGACUACUGCUGGAGCCUAUGGAAAAGCAAAUGUAGGUAUAAGUAACGAUUAGGAGGGCGAGAACCCCUCCCGCCGAACGGCUAAGGUUUCCCAGGCAAUGCCAUUCAUCCUGGGGUCAGUCGGGUCCUAAGGCUAAGCCGAGCGGCGAGGCCGAUGGCAGACACGGUCAACAUUCCGUGACUACCGCCAUCAGUGAUGUCCUGACGGAGCAGUGACACCUCCGCGCCCUGACGGAAUAGGGCGUUGAAGGGCGUAGGCUAUGAUGAUGCCAGGCAAAUCCGGCAUCAGAGCUGAAACCUGAAAGUACGGGGUCCCCUUCGGGGGAACCUGAGAGCGAGGGUAACCAUACUCCCGAGAAAAUGGGCUAAACUCAUGUUGGCGGUACCCGUACCGCAAACCGACACAGGUAGUUGGGUAGAACAUACUAAGGCGUUGAGAGAUUCAUGGCUAAGGAACUAGGCAAACUGACCCCGUAACUUCGGGAUAAGGGGUCCUCACCUCCGGGUGAGGCGCAGAGAAUAGGUCCAGGCAACUGUUUAACAAAAACACAGGGCUGUGCGAACUCGAAAGAUGAAGUAUACAGCCUGACACCUGCCCGGUGCCGGAAGGUUAAGAGGAGAUGUCACCGCAAGGGAAGCAUUGAAUUGAAGCCCCGGUAAACGGCGGCCGUAACAAUAACGGUCCUAAGGUAGCGAAAUUCCUUGUCGGGUAAGUUCCGACCUGCACGAAUGGUGUAAUGAUCCGGACGCUGUCUCGGCCAUGAGCUCAGUGAAAUUGUAGUAUCGGUGAAGAUGCCGAUUACCCGCGAUGGGACGAAAAGACCCCGUGAACCUUUACUACAGCUUAGCAUUGACCUUGGUCAUCCGAUGUGUAGGAUAGGCCGGAGGCUUCGAAGCGGCGUCGCCAGGCGUUGUGGAGCCAUCCUUGAAAUACGGCCCUUUGGCUGUCUGAGGUCUAACGCGGAUAGUCGCGGACACUGCUUGGUGGGUAGUUUGACUGGGGUGGUCGCCUCCAAAAGCGUAACGGAGGCUUCCAAAGGUGCCCUCGGGCCGUUUGGUAAGCGGCCUUCAAGAGUGCAAUGGCAAAAGGGCGCUUGACUGGGAGGGAGACAUCCCGAGCAGGCAGGAAACUGGGGCAUAGUGAUCCGGCGGAUGUGUAUGGAAACUCCGUCGCUCAAAGGAUAAAAGGUACUCCGGGGAUAACAGGCUGAUCCCCCCCAAGAGCUCAUAUCGACGGGGUGGUUUGGCACCUCGAUGUCGGCUCGUCACAUCCUGGGGCUGGAGAAGGUCCCAAGGGUUGGGCUGUUCGCCCAUUAAAGUGGCACGCGAGCUGGGUUCAGAACGUCGUGAGACAGUUCGGUCUCUAUCUAUCGUGGGCGCAGGAGUUUUGAGUGGUGCUGUCACUAGUACGAGAGGACCGUGACGGACAGACCUCCGGUGUACCGGUUGUGCCGCCAGGCGCACCGCCGGGUAUCCGCGUCUGGAUCGGAUAAGCGCUGAAAGCAUCUAAGUGCGAAGCUUUCCACGAGAUUAGAACUCCAUUGAGGGUCGUCGCAGACGACGACGUUGAUAGGGCGCAGGUGUAAAGACGGCGACGUCAAAGCCGAGCGCUACUAAUUGCCC
rnacentral:rRNA from 1 species